rnacentral:lncRNA from 1 species
AAAAAGAAAAAAGAGUUUUAAACUAAGUUAUAUUUAAAUGCUCAUUUCAACCUUAUGAUUUCUUUUAAUUAGUUUAAUAAUUACAUAUUCAGAAUCCCACCGUUCUUUUUCUUUUUAAUUAAUUACACUCUUAAUUUAGAAGUGUGUAUUUGUUAGAUGGACUUCCACGUGUUAUAUAGAUAUAGCCUUUGGGUUGCUCAUUUCAUUUUUUAUGUUUUAAUUAUAAUUAGUCUACAAUUAACUACAAUUUUUUUUUAUUUUUGGAUGUUUAUUGUUUUUUACUUUCAUACAUUGACUAAAAUUAAAUAACAUGGAUAAUUAUAAUUUAUACUAAAAACAUAAUCCAUGAUUAUAAUAACUAAAUUCAAGACCUCAAAUGCAUCUUCAUACUUUCAACUUCAUUCUUUGAUAAAGGUGUGAUAAAGGUGUUUAGUUUAUACAUACCAUUAUUCAACUUUGGCUAUCAAACAAAAACAUUUUCAUUACCCACAGCUUAUCCUGUUCGAAUCUUACACCAUUUAUUAUUCUUAUUAUUAUUUAUUAAUCUUUAUACUAAUUAUCUUCUCUUCUUUCUCCCUCUUUUUCUAUCAUCAUUCUACUCUCUCUUUUUAUAUUCAUAUACUUCUCAUUACAUAUCUUUUUCUUUUCUCUUAAUCAUGCUUUUCUUUUUUUUUCUUUUUUCCCUUUACUUUCAAGUUAUAUAAUCAUCUUCCUUUUUUUUUUAAUAUACCAUUUUUGUUACAUUUUCUUCAUUCUUUCAAAAUUAUAAAAGUUAACUUCACCAUAGGCAAUGAAAUUUUUAGGUUUACUGUUAUAAAAAAAAUCACAAACAACAGUAACUUCUUCAAAAUAUAUAAGAGAUCAAGAUAACUUUAUCACGUGUAUUUAUUGUUAGUUUGAACAAAUAUUUUGGUUGAAACUUUUGUUAAAUUCACAAUUUGAUCCCAGCAUUUUUAUCCAAUAUAGACUCCAUGUGUUACAAUUAAGACUACCCCAUAAUAUAGCUUCUUGUUUUCCUUCUUUUUGUUAUUAUAUAGUUUGGACAGAAAUAUAUAUCAUUUUGAUAAUGUAUUUAAAUGUUGGUGUUCAUAGUUUAGUAUGUUUGAUACAUAUAUUUACUUUUAUAAGUACCAUUCUAUGAUCUACAAUUUGAGAUAUCAAGAGUUGAUCAUCUUCAUAUGAUAAAUUUGUUCAAUAUAUACUACAUUGUUUGAUCAUUUUGAGUAUAAUUAAAGAUAUAUAAUAAUAAUAAGAGAAGGCAGUGUGGUUAGCAUGAACAAGUUUGAUGAUUUAAUUUAAGGAGUUUGUGUUGUGUGUUUUAAUAUUCAUAAAUGUGCUAAGAAUAGAGGAAGGACAGAAGUAGUAGAAGAGGCGUAAAAAGGGGUUGAAAAUGGAUAAAUAGGAAGCAUAUAUAGGGAUUUAAAAGAAAAGCAAAACAAAUCAAUAAUAAUUAAGAUGAAGGCACAUGGAAGGCAUUAAUUUAAAUUAAGAGUAAGAAGGCAAUGGGAGGAUUAUUAUUAUUGUUCUUUCAUUUGACAGAAACGCAAAGAAAGGGAGAUAGAUAUAUGUGUGAUUUGAUUGGGUGAAAAAUAGGGAACGUGUAAAAGCAAAGACCAUUAUUAUUUAUAAUUUGAUAUAUAUAUAUAUAUGUAUUGGGUAUUAAUUGGGAAAAUAUUGAUGAGUAGGGCAUAUAUAAGAAUGGAAAGGUUAGAAAAAGAGAGUGGGGGUUUGGAGGGGAGGGGGGGGGACAAAGGUGAAUGUGUUGUCUACAUAAAUAGAGGCAAAGUGGUGAUGACAUGGAAAACACAAAAUGACCAAACCCAACCCACAAAUUAUUUCUUUUUUAUGUGUACAAUGUUAAGAAAAAGGCCUCAUUGCCAUCUCUCUCUCUUUCUCCAUCUCCAUCUCCAUCUCCAUCUCCAUCUCUGUCUCUCUAGUCACACUUACCAAAUACUCUUUUUGUCUCUCAACUCUUUUUAUUUUCCUCCCCCUCACCCCAUCGUCUCCAAUCCACACUCAUUUCUUCUUUUCUUUCUUUUAUAUAUAUGUAUUCUUCUUUAUUAUGUCCAUUCAUUCCGCAGGUUCAGUUUUAUGUAAUAAUCUCUUUGUUUUCAAGAAGAAAAAUAAAAUCCCUUACAGUAUACUCUCUCACAUUUAACCUAUUCUUUUGAACAAUCUCAAAGGCCAACGAUAUAUAUAAUUGUUUUGUCCCUAUACAGUAUAUUAUAGAAAAACCAAUAACAUUCUAACCUUUUAUAUUCUUUGCAUAUUUUGGUUUUGUUAUGAAACAUUGAAAUUUAACAGAAAUAUUUGCACAUGGACACUUAUAAUAUAAAUAAAUUAAGUAAUUUACCAAAUUUUAAAAAGGGUGUGGUGGAAGAUGAAUAUAUGAAGAAAAAAUCAAAGCAUAUCAAUAAUACAUACAUUUUAUUGAACCAUGCUCUCAUGCUCAUUUUGGGUGGGAGAUUAAUGUGCUAAACUAGCAAUAAUUAUUACAAUAUUAAACAAUUAAUGAGGAUAAGUCCAAAAGAAUGAAAAGUGUGUUAAUUAUAAAGUUUAAUUAGGUUGGCAUAUAAAGAUUCUAAGUUGAAGACAAUGAUAGAAAAAAACAAAAGAAGGAUGUUGGAGUUUGUCACGUGAUGGCUAUUAUAUAUUUAACCCUAAACAAGGCCACAUGAUUAGUUUUUGUAUAUUAUAAUUUUCAAAUGUGAAACUUUUUAAUCUAGAAACUUUGCUACAUCAAUAUAUAUAUUUAGAAUGAACUAAAAAGUUUGACUUGAUCUCAUAAGAAACAGUUUAAUUAUCAAUAAAAUUUAAAUUUUAUAUUAUAAGCUGGGAUGAAUGUAUAUAAAAUGAAACAUAUAGAUGGUAUUAGUAGAAAAGAAACUGAAACCAUAUAUUAUUGACGUUUUAGAAUUAUAUUUGUUUUAAUAAUUAUGAGAGAGAUUAUAAGAAACAUAUGGAAGGCGAUGUGAAUGAAUGUGCUUGCACGCUUCCACCCACCCGCUACAUUCUGGGAGGCGGUUGCCGUCGUCAACCACCGCCCCUUUUCCUUUUCUCCUCUCCUUUUAAUCUAAUUCUUUUACCAUAAUCUUUGUUUCUCUUCGUCAGCUGUAUAAUAACUCAUUCUUCACAUUAACUUACUAAGGUAUUUGGUAUGAACAUUCUUCACCUAUCUUUAACAAUCAAAUAAUUAACUAUCUAAAUUUUGAAAUUUGUAUUAUAUAACAGUUUUUUUUAACUUUUAAACUGCAAGUCUAUGAAGGAUCAGGUGCUUAAAUAAUCUAUAUAUUAGAUAUUAGUUUGAAUUUUAUUAGAAAGGAUAUAGAUUUAAUUUGAUGAUAAAUAUAAUUUUUAACUUCUUUUUCUUGACUAAAAAAUUUGGGAUAAAAUUAUAAUUUAAAUUAAAGGUGUAGUAUUAAUUUUAUGGACAUGACAUGAAAGGGCAUGCAGUGACUCACAUCUUUCAAUUGAAAAGAUGAUGAAGAUGAAAAGUAACGUAAGGGUAGGAAUAGGGGUUUGGAUGGGAAUUCAAUAAUAGACCCAUCUUUAAUUAAUUUGUAUUUAUAAUCUUUAGGGCAGGCAUACCCUAAACCGAAUUGAUGGUUUCCUCUCUAUUUCAUCAUAUUAUUAAUUUAGUGUCUCUACUUUAUAAUUUUGUUUAUGUCUAUGUUUAAAUCUCAUUUUUAGUUUGUACCCAUCUCACUUUUUUCCCAACAAUUCUUAAAUAAAUUCAAAUCCUUCUGCUUUAAAAACACGUAUCAUUUAUCAAUAAAUUUAAGGAUAUAACUCUAACGUUGAUAUUAGUUUAGCUAAGCUUUUAUGGAUAAUCGCUUAAUUAAGUUAAUAGUUAUUGAGUUUUACAUAUUUUCUAAUAUAAAAAAAUAGGAAAUGAGAAUUUAAAGUUACAACCUGUAAGGGGGAGAAAAUGUGAUAACCUCGGCAAGCCCCUCAACCAAAUCUUCAAAAUAUUAUGUGUGAUGUAUAUUCCAUGGAGGGAAGUAUGUAUAGUUGAAGCCCAUUGGAAGCAUAUGGGGCUUAUUCUCAAUUUUAUUUCCAGCUCAAUAACUUUACUAAUGGCCCAUCCACUAGCUGGCCCUUAAUUCUCGAAAACAAAGAAACAAAGAAUGUAAACAUCGAUUUUAAAACUAAUUAUUCCAUGCCCUAUUAGCACCGAGUUAAACCCAGUUUCACACGUUGACAAUGCAUUACAUCUAUCUAUCUAUCUAUCUAUUUAUCCUUCCCCUUCAAUAAGAUAAUCCAACUCAGUGAAAUUGGACAAAAUUAAUUAAUUAGCUGAUCCAAAUUGAAUGGUAAAUAUGUUGUAAAAUUAAUUAGGAUUGAGAAUAAUGAAGGAAGUAACACACACAAUACAAAGAUUAUUAUUAUUAAUUAUGAUUAUGAUUGAAAAGGAGACGCUAUUGUAAUUAAUUAUUGAAGGAUGGGAAGAGAGAAGGAAGGGAAAACAAAGUGUAAUUAAUUUAAAUAGAUUUAAAUGAUUAUUUGGAAUUGGAUUGGAGUCGUAGAGAAAGGUUGGUAAGGGAAAGAAGAAGUAGUUUCAAGUUCUGAUAGGUUUGUUGAUCAAUCAAGUCACCAUCUUCAUUGAACUUGGGAGGUGGUUGAAAGGCAUUCACAUGAACCCCAGGCUUGUUCACAAAGUGAAGGUCCAAAAACACUCCCACUUGCCGGAGAUGGAAUUGUGCCAAUCCACCGCCGAAUCCACCGCCGGCACUCAUUAUCGCCGCUGCCUUUCCGGCAAACACGUUUGGUGGUCUUGAUGCCCAAUCAAUUGCAUUCUUUAAGGGAGCUGCUACCACACACAACCAACAUAAAAAACUAUAUAUCUAUUUAUUAUUGCUAUUUAAUCCAUUUCCAUAAAACUUAACUUUCACUAAAUUUAAAAAUUCAUCAGAAGCAAUGAUUACCAUUAGACCUUUAAGAAUUAAAAAUAUAUAAACUAAAAGUAUAACAAAAUAAUCUAAAGUAGAAACAGUAAAAGCACGUAUAUUUUAACUAAAAAAAAAGAAUGAUAAUGUUUUACUAUUCGUUAUAUAAUGAUAUGGACGGCACUCUUUUGCAACAAAGAACACACAAGAUCAGAUGGGUGUCUAAUGACAAAUAUUAAAAGACUAGAUUUUUCAACUCAAUUUAAGUAUAUAGUUUUGAAUUAAAGUUAAACAGUGGGUAAUUAAAUUUGAGUAAUUAGUAGGAAAGUUUGUUAAGAGAGAGAGAGAGACCGGCAAUAGAGUAAUUAUACUCGGGAGAAGCGAAGAGAAUACAAUCGGAGUGAAGGAUCUUGCGGCGGAAAGCCUCAACGACGGGAGGAAAACCUCCGUUUGGAGUUUCAAGAUCGGUAUUAAGCAUGGGCAAGGGAUCCACUUCCAGGUACUCGAUUUCAAUUCCCGAUUCCUCCUUACAAAUCUUCAUCGCUGAUGGCAACAAGUAAACAAUUCAAAUUCAUUCAAUUACAAACAACGUAACAUGAAUAUAUAAUAGUAUAAUAGUAUAAUAGAAUAAUAGAAUAGGGGAGCGGGGGUUAGUUAGUUGUUACGCGUACCGGCUCGAAUAAGGCCACGAUUAAAGGAAGCCUUACGAAGAGAGCCGCAUAAAGCCACCGCUUUGACCACCGGUUCACCGCCCGUAACCCCCACCGAUGCCAUGGAUAUGAUAUGAUAUGAAAUUCAAAAACACUCUUCUCUUUAGUUAAAACACACCCCAAUUGCAAUCAAUCAUGCACAAUGCUCCUUUUUAUACACCCAACGCCCACUUUCUUUUCCUACUUAUUUUCUAUUCUAUUCAGUAUUCCCCCUCUUUCUUUUCUUUUUAUAUUCUUUAGUUUCAUCUUUUAUUUUUCCUUUUUGUUUGGAAUCAUUUUCGAAUAUAAUAAAAUUAAUAAAUAAUAUUAUUAGUUUUCAGUCUCUUAUCAAAUUUUAUACACAUGUUUGAAAUUUAAAUACUUGUUCCAUGUUCUAAUUUCUUUGGUAUAAAAUAAAAGAAAAUUAGCAUUUAGCUAACCAAUUUAAUCAUAAAAUUAGGAGUAAAUUCGGUGGAAAAGUUAAAUGAAAAAACUUUCUAUAUAUAUGAAAUGAGUAAUUCUCUUGAAAGAGGAAAUAUAAAAGUUGUUAGAAGACCUAAUUUUGAGGGAAUCAUUUCUAAUAAAGGUUAAGAACAGAUUUUGUGGACUAAUGGGUGAUUUCAAAUGGAUUAUUCAUUCAACUUCAAAUUUUCUAAGGAAACAAACCGUUAAAAUUUUGGCUAAUGAUACCUUUAUGUUAACAAAGUUAUAAUUUUCAAAAGCAGAAAAUUGAGAUUUGAUUUUUUUUUUUAAGCUUUUAAAAAUAAAGUCUACAAACAGAUCUUGAUGUUGUUUUACUUUCGUAUCUACUUUUGACCUAUAUUUUAAAAUCGAAAAAUGAUUGGAAAAACUCCGGCACGAAUAAAUUUGGAAUUUUGCCAUACAUAAUAUUUGGAAAUAAGCAUUUUAGAAAGUUGUUGGUUAAAAUUAAAAGCUAAAAACAAAAAGAAAAAAAGAAUUGAAUUAAAAGAUAUUAUUUGUAGUAUUAUUAAAAUGGGGUGAGCGGCCGGCUGAAUAAGCGAUUAAUUAAUUAAUUAAUUGGGUAAUUAAAAAGGAAAGAUGUAUUAGGUAAGGGAUGAGGUGGAGGAAAUAUUUUGUUAUUCUCCUCAAAUCCUGUUCACAUCCACUUCUUGUCGGCUACUCCCAACUCAAAUUUAUAUUUUUUUGUUUUAUGUUUCAAUACAAUUAUUAUAUGCUUCUCUUCUUUACUUUUUACUUUUUACAUAAUGCUUAAUGCUUAAUUAUAUUACAAAGUUUAAAUACACACCACCACAUUGUAUGCCAUCAAAACAAAGAUUUCCACACGUCCACACCACGAGUUCUACGCUCUAUAUCUUACGCAUCCAAACCUCUACUACUAGGCCUUGGGUUUAAUGCCAUCUUGUUAGUCAUCCACAAUGCUGUAUAUGUACAUGUAGUAUGUACUGGUGUAUAAUUUUGAAAGGGUAUUGAGAAAAUAAAAGGUCAAAAGUAGGGAUCAAUUAUUGUAUUAAAAAAUAAUUAUUAUUUUUCUUUCUUAGUGUUCAUGGUCAACAUAUUAAUUAAAAACAAAAGUCUAAUUUGAUGGGGAAUUAAAUAAGCAGCACAGACAAAAAGAGAUGUUAUACUGUCGUUGUCACGGUUAUCGAAGAAGAAGAAGAAGGGAAAAAGGGGUAUUGGUUUGGUAUGAUGAUGUAUAUUAUUAAUAUAAGGCCCAUCUGGGCAAUAAUGAGAAGCCCUAAGAAACCACCAUUGAACCUUCCUAGGUUGCUACCCCUUCCAACCAUUUUUAUAUAAAGCCCAAUUUUUAUCUCAUCUAUUCUCUUCAGCCCACAACCCAUGUAUCGACCUUUAAAACCUUCGUUACUACUGUCUUAUCUACUGAUUUGUGUUUAAAUUUAUACAACGUAGAAUGCAAUUCUUUGUAUGUGAAUUUGCUAACACAGUAAGCAAUUGUUUCAUUGAAAAAAUGGGUUCCUUUCUUUGCCCUUAUGGUAUACAUCAAUCCCUUAUCGAUCAUCUUUGGUGUCUUCUUGUGAUUCUUCUUCUUUGCUUUUCAUCGGUUUUUUAUAUGUUAAGUGGAUUAAUGGUUAAUUAGUGUAAUAAAAUAUCUACUCUCAUUCAAAGUGUGUCUUAUAUGUAUAAUGUGAAAAUGUAAACCCUGAGUAACAAAAUAUAUACCAUGAACUGGAAAAUUACUACAAGUUAAUUAAGAAAAUGAGUGAAGUGAAUUAUAGAAUUAAGACUGAUUGAACAAGAUUGUCGGCAGAGUAAAAUAAAUAGUUAAAGAGGAAACAAGGCCUUUCUCGAAGCAAACCCCAAUGGAAUAUGCAAAACUCUGACACCCAUCCCUUUUUAUCUUUUACUUUUUUCUUUCUCUUUAAUCAAAAUAAAUGGAAAUUUCAACUUUUCAAGAUAAUUGCAAUUUCGGUACAUACCCUAAACUGGAAACACACCUAUAAAAAACUAUACAACUUUUUCUAUAUUAUUUCAUCAACUCACUCGUUACUUACAAAUAAAUUAAGUUGUUUUUAAAUACAGUAAAAACUGAAAAAAAUAUAUAUAUAUAUUUACAGUCAUACAAAAAUAUUACAUAUAUCUAUAGAUAUCUACUGUCAUAUUUUAUUGUUUUUAUAAAUAUUUUUAAAUAACUUUAUCAUUUUAUAAAUCAUAUUGAAUUACAAUUGUUAAUGAUUUAAUUGUAAUUGAUACUAGUAAACUCUAUAAAAAAAGUUGUAAACAGUGAUAUAGAUACAAUGCUUUAAUCUAUUGGUUUCCAGUAGUUUAUGCAAUUUUGAUUACAACCCAAAAUUCAUAAACCUACUUUGACCCUUCUUAUGUAACUAUGGACUCGUUAUCCAAUAACUUCAUAUUUAUUAAUUUUAAUCAUACACAAUUAGAAAUUGGAUUAUGACAUUUAAAAAUGGUGUUAGAUUGCCUUUUUAGAAAAUGAUAGAGCUAAAUUCUAUUAAGCAGAUGUCAAUUUCAUUAUGCAAAGGUUGUAUGUGAAUAGUUUUUUUUACCUCGAGGACUGGACAUAAAAUUUAAACUAUAAUAGGACGAAAAAUUUUGAUUUUGAAAUACAAAACAACAAUUCUACAAAGGAGACAGAAGUUGUGGAGAACAAAAACAAAAACUAGUAAUUUUGUUAUUAAACUUUUAAAUACAGUCAAUCUUCACAUGCAUAUGCCAUAAAAAUAAAUAAAAUCUCAUGAUCUUAUAUGUUUUUUUAAUUGGAAUUUUAUUCCCUUGAAUUGGAGUGACAUGAUUGUGUUUUCUUUUUGGCUUAAAUUAACUUUAAUAAAGUACUAGCUAUAUAUGCAUAAUUAUGUCUUUACCAAUCGAAUCAAAACUACAAAAUCGAGAGUAGUUUAGCAUAUCUAAGUUAUAGAUCUACAUCAUGUGACCUAACAUGAAACUAUUUCUUCUUUUAGGUUUAAUUGUUUUUUUUUUUUCCUUCAAAACCAAUUGUCUUUUAAAAAUAAAAUUAUAGUUUAUGGGCGCCAUUAUAUAACUUGAAAUUGUACUUCAAUGUACAGACUGUAAUCUUGAUGUGGUUUAGUUAAAUAUUUGAAGCACAUAACCUUGGAGUGUAGUUAGUAGGAGAAAUUGUUAUACCACUUGAAAUCUCUAGGUAUUAAAUUUUACAUAUAACUCCCAUUUUAUGAAUCAGUCCAAUUUGUAAAUAGUCUUAUGUUGUGAUUAAACCUUUGAAGCAUCUAAUAAGUCCUUUGAAUUUUAAUCUUGUAUUCACAUAAGAAUGAGAUGAGAUAUGCACUAGAUAUAAAAUUAUUAUAACAUUGAUAGUUUUAAAACUUAUUUAUAGAUAAAUAUUACAAACGAAACAGAGAAAUAAUGGUUAAAAACCAAGCUUUUAAUUUAAUAGAACUAAAAAUAAUAAGUAAAAGGGAAAAAAAUGAAUUGGUAUAUUUUAUGGGUGUGAAACAAUGUGUUUGAAGAAGGCAAGUAGAAUAUAAAUGAGGUUUGUGGAUUGGUGAUGAGGUUGUAGGGUUAAUAUUAUUGUUAUUGGUAUAUAUAUAUUGAUGUGAUUAUUGAAGUUAUGAUUGGAGAAGUUAUUAUUUUAUAUACGUUUUAUAUCCAAGCCAUGUGUGUAUAUGUUCAUCACAAAAGAAAAGCGAACAAAAUUGAAAAACCCUAAUAGGAAUUAAAUUGGGUUUGGCCAAAAAGACAAGCCAUGUUUGUUGAUAAUAGUGCAGUGCAAUCACAUGCAUGCAUUUUCGUUUCAUCACUACACAUUUUAACUCUUUCCCUCAGUACAACAAACUCAGUCUUGUUUUGAAUUGAACCCACCCUACCCCCUUUACUUUCCUCUUUCUCUUUUUUAGAAAAACUUUUGUCAUUUUCGUUUUUGCUUUAAUUUCAUCAUUUCAUUACCAUAUAGGUCGUGAAAUGGGUUUGAUUGUUGAUUCCAUUUAUAUAAAGAGUAGCAACAAAGACAGAGUAAAAUGUGUAGUUAUUGGUUUCGCAUCGGUUUUGGUUUUUGUAUACUUCACAAUUUAGACUAAUAAAACAAAGCAAGUAAAACUGUAAUAAAACUAGAAAUGAAUGCUCAUUUAUUAGUUUCGAAAUAUCAAUCAAAUUCCAAAAUCUAAAAAAACCAACAUUAAGUUUUGAUUUGGAUUCAAUUUUUGGAAGUGACUGUAGACAAUAUCUCAAAUGGAGAAGAUGAUGCAUGCGUUUAAAAAUAUUACUUAUUAAAUUGGAAUAAUCUUAAUCCUUAUCAAUCAAAGCAUUAGUAUACAUUUUGUUUGUGUAUAUUAAUAGUGAUUGUUUUUAAAUAAAGGAUUGGAGCAAAGAUCUGAUCCUCAAACUCACAUCUUAGAACAAUAAUCAGAACUUUUUUUUAAUAAUAAUUAAGAAAAAAACUGUGUAGCUAAUUGGGUUUUAUUCCCAUCUCAAAUAAGGAGCUUCCCAAGUAAAAUGGGGGGAAAUGGACAAAAUAAUCAUAAAUAAUAGAUACAUAUUUGCAGUACUCUCUCUGAUUAGUUUUAAAUUAUUAAAAGGAAUAUGAUGAAGAUCUAAACUUUACUAUAAUAAUGUUUCUAAGAAAUACCCACUCUUCUAAUAUUAUAUAAUCAGAUUUUACAUCUCUCCCCCAAUACUUUCGUUUACACCUUAAUUAGCUUGUAUAUAUAUAAUAUCCCAAAUAACUUCUGCUGUCUUGUUACUGUUUCUUUUUUCUUUUCUACAACUUUUUAAAGGUAAUAAACUUUGAUGGUUUUUGGAUAAACAAUUCAAAUGAAAGCUUAAUAAACAAUAUUUCUUUAAUAUUUUUAUACAAAUUAAAGUUCUCUUCUCACACAGAUAUAUAUGAUUCAAAUGUAUUUUAUCUCGUUUUAUAAAACAAUAAUCUAAAAAAGCUGAAAUUUGAUUGUGCCAAAGAAAAAAGAAAAAAGAAAUCGCAAUGGUUUGUUUUUACAUUGAAAAAAGCAAACACCUUUCAAGUACUUCAAAAAAAAGAAAAGAAAAAAAGAAAAGGCAAACAUUUUCCCCCCAUGUUUUGCUUUUUAAAAAGUGAAUUAAACAAUGUUUAGCUGAAAAAAAUGAAAUUAAAUCAAUAAUGGAACAUAAUUAAACUGAUUGAUGCAUAAGACGAUACUACCAAAAAAGCAAUUAGGAAAUAUAAUUAGAUUGAAUUAUUGUAUGAAAUGACAAAUACCCCACAUUCUCCCAUUCUAUAUAUCUUUUUGUUCCUCAUAACGUGACAUUUCCUUUAUGAACAUCUUUUUUCAAACUUUCAUCAAUGUUUUACUUUUAGUUUCUUUUCUUUUUCUAAUUUAAAGUUUAUAAAUAAUAGAGAGUAUUAUUACACAUCCCAAUUCCAGAAGUAUAUAUAUAUGGGGAUUUUCGUUCAUACCUAAGUCGAUCAAAUUGAAAAAAAACACACACAUUUACACAAUGUGUUUUGAAAUGAAAUAAAUAAUUAUAUGUAGUAGUCAAACAUUGAAUAAGUGAAGAGUUUAAAUUGGAUUAAGUUUAAAGAGAAGACAUUAGAGAUGAAGAUAGAAAAGAGAGAGAGAAGAGGUAAAUUAUAAGUUAGAAAAAUGGGAGGGAGGGAGGGAGAGACAUGAUGUGUGAUGAAAGGGACAUUGGCACGAGAGGGUCCAAUGCCAAAAUGGAAUCCACUCUGUUCCCAUAAUAUACAAAUAAUAAUCCAUUUUCCAUUUUCCAUUUUCCAAUUUUCAUCAUUAAUCAUUAUUAUUAUUCCUUAGGUACUCCCCACUUCCCCACAUCACAUUUUCUCUAUCCCACCAUCUAAUUUAACUAUUAUUUUCUCCCAUCCCCUCUUCCUUCUUCUCCCAUUCAACUUUAUAUGUUUUCAAUAAUCAUCAAAACCAUCUCUUAAAUAACUUCCCCCUCUUCCUCAUCAUCCUCUCCAUUCCCUCUAAUAUCUUCUUCAACUCUUCUUUUUUACAUUCUUUCUUUACUAAAAUCAACCAAAGUUUAAUUUCAUAACUACACCUAUCAUCUGCUAACCUUUCCUUUUCUCUCUCUUUUUUAUUCAACGUCUGAAUCAAUCAUUUAUGAAAAAAAAAGGUUAUGUAGUAGGUAUAAACAACUAUCUAAAGUUAAUCUAUAUGCUGCAUGUAUACUUACAACUUAAAGUGAACUAUAUUAUAAUGUUUUGAAAUAUUAUAGGAGAGAUCCGACCCAUUUCUCUCCCAAUAUAAUCAUUUAGGAAAGAUUUUUUUUUAUAUAUAUAUAUAUGUAUGUAUGUAUAAUCUAAAUAUAUCACAUUGGUGCUUUGGUUUCACAUUAACCUAUUAUUACAAUCUAAACAAUGAAGUGGCUUUUACUUCUAUUAUUUCUCAAAAAGCUACUUCCUUUUUCUCAAUAAAAUAGCGAUUGGGAUCAUGAAGCUCCAUUCCUAGAAAGAAACGUUAUUUGUAUUAAUUAUCAUUGAUUACUUAAGCUUAGUUUAAUUAAAAAAGAAAAGUUGAUUUUUUUUUAGUUCUAUAAUAAUGCAUGGCUGCAAAAUCCAAACUUAUAUGAUUUUAAUAUAUAGAUUUAAUUUGAAAUAUCUCAAAACUAAACAUAUACAUGUUUCAAACUAUCUAUUUCAAUAAUUAAACUUUAAUAAUUUUUGUAGAAGAAUUAUUAAGUCCAGUGUAUAGUCGAAAACACCGCACUACUCCACAUAAGCAAACUACAGACAUCACCAAGAAUCUAAAAUUGAAAGAAGAAAGAAAAAGCUAAACAUUAAAUUCUAUUUUGAUUUACUAACUUUCACAUUAGACUUAAGUUAAGGGUCAGUGUAGUUCCUAAAAAAAUAUUAUUGAUUUAUUUUGUUACUCUAUUUCAACUUUUACAACAUAGUUAAUAUCUUAAAAAAUAGUGUCUAGACAUAAACUCUCGAUCUAUAUUAAUCAUUUGGUUGUCAUUCGAUAACAUGUGUAGGCAUUGAAGUUCAUCACAUAUAUUCAAUAUAGGGUUAUUAUAUUUAAUUUGAUAGUGUAAUUGAAUUUAAUUAGUGUUAAAUUACAAAUUAUUUGGCAGGGAAUGGGGAGUACGAAUGUUGUAUAAAUAUGGAUGGGGGUGUGAGUGAGUCUUCCCCACAAUCAUCAUACUCCCUUUAAUAUUCCUUUCAAUUAAUUACUUCCCACACCACACUCGAAGGAAGCCAUGAACAACACCAAAUCCCCCUUCCUUCUCCUCCUCCUCCUCCUCCACCUAUUCUCCAUUUCCACCGCCAAAUCCCAUAUCCCCUCCAACUGCAACCCCGCCGCUGACCGGAGCUCCACCCUCCAAGUGUUCCACAUUUUCAGCCCCUGCUCCCCAUUCCGCCCAUCAAAGCCCCUUUCUUGGGCCGACAAUGUACUCCAAAUGCAGGCCAAGGACCAAGCCCGUCUCCAGUUCCUGUCCUCCCUGGUGGCUCGAAGGUCGUUCGUCCCCAUCGCCUCCGCCCGGCAGCUGAUCCAGAGCCCCACCUUCGUGGUCCGGGCCAAGAUCGGGACCCCUGCCCAGACCCUCCUCUUGGCCCUCGAUACCAGCAACGACGCCGCUUGGAUUCCUUGCUCCGGCUGCAUCGGUUGCCCUUCCACCACCGUCUUCUCAUCCGACAAGUCGUCCUCCUUCCGUCCCCUCCCCUGCCAAUCCCCUCAAUGCAACCAGGUACUCAUCUUAUUUUUAUUUUCCUACCCCUUCCUCUACUCACAAAUCAUUUAAGGCAUUUAAAAUAUUUUAAGAUACCUAAUCUUUUCUUUUUUUUUCUCUUCUUAAUUGAGAGUUAUAGUUGGUUUGGAAUCUCAAUUAGCUUCCUAUAUAUAUACAUUGAACAAAAAACAACCUGAUUCAUAUGCAAAAGAAGAAAAAGGAAUUUUAAGUGUUGAAAAGUUGCAAGAGCAAGUAGAGGGAAGUAGUGUUUAAUUUUAAGAUUUUUGUAGGAGCGGUGUGAUAUUAAUUAACUAUACAAGUGUGCGCCGCUAGCAUUAGAUUAGUGGAGAGGCCACAUAUCCACAUAUCCCUUGGAAUAUUCAAUCACCAUAGCAACAUACAAUAAAUCAAUAAUACUUCACUUACAUAACAUUCUCCUUUUGCUUCCAUCCCCACUUUAUGCUUUUCUUUCCUUUUUUUUCUUCUUCUUCUUUAAUAUUAAAAAUGUAAUGCCUCACACUUUUAUAACUAAUUAUUUUAGCAAACAUUUUACAAUAAUUACGAAUAUAACCAAAUUUAUUCAUUAUGGGCAUUUCUUUAAUAAUAUACUCUAAAAAUUGUAGUGUUCCUUAGUCUUUUGUUUCAAUAUAUUAUAUUUGAUUCUUGUAUUUGCAAUUGCUCUGUAUUUGCAUCUGAUCUAUUUGAUCUAUUUUUACCACCCUGUAAAAUUAAACAAUUUGUCAUUGGGUAUCAACUUUUUUCUUUUUUAAUUUGGUUUUUAAAUUUAGAGUGUAUUACUAAAUUUUGUAUUUUGUGUUAUGUGAGUUUCAAGGUUCUGUAUUUUGUUUUCAAUAGAUCAGUAACUUAUUCAACAAAUUGUAAAAAAAUGUACAUAUGUUUUAACAUACAAAAUUGAAAGUUUGAAGUUUUGCAUUAAGCAGCUUAUCUAUAUAUAUAUAAUUUGUAUGGUUUGAAAACUUUAAUUACGACAUAAACUUGGUAGGUAUGAAAUUUUUUGAAGUCUUAAAAGUUAUGAGACAUAAAACAAAACUUAUAAAAUUGAGCAGUAGAUGAGAUGUAAUUGUCAGGUUUAGAUAGUAUUUUAUUUUAAAUAUAGAAUGUGGUGACCAACUUAAAAUUAAAAAGGAGUGAUUCUUUCUAAUUAAAUUGUAACCAAUUUAGAUUUGCAUAGAAAGUUUUAGAUGCUUUUGAAGAAUCCAAUCCAAGUUCCCACGUGCCAAGCAAUCGUUUCCUUCGAGGCAACACGUGUGACAGGAAAAAGCCUGAUUUAAAUUAUUUCCGUACGAGUUAUUUCCUUUUAAUUUUAAUAAUAUUUUGGGUGUCUCUAGAAUCCACGAGUGUCAGUGAGUCACCGACGGGGGAGGGUUGAGUCACGGGCCUAAAGAAAAACUUUUCCCAAAAAAAUGAAAAAGUCCUUGUCGUAUUGGAGAAUGGAGGUAUCACGGUGACACUUUUUAUUUGUCAGGUACCGAACCCGAGUUGCAGCGGCAGCGCUUGUGGUUUCAACCUCACGUACGGGAGCUCGACGGUGGCGGCGGAUCUGGUUCAAGACAACCUAACUCUGGCCACAGACUCAGUCCCCUCCUACACAUUCGGUUGCAUCAGGAAGGCCACGGGUAGUUCAGUACCGCCUCAGGGGCUAUUGGGGUUGGGCCGAGGCCCAUUAUCACUUUUGGGCCAGAGCCAGAGCUUGUACCAAUCCACAUUCUCCUACUGUCUUCCCAGCUUCAAAUCCGUCAACUUUUCUGGCUCGUUGCGUCUUGGGCCUGUGGCCCAGCCCAUUAGAAUUAAGUACACCCCGCUGCUCCGCAACCCCCGACGGUCCUCGUUGUAUUACGUGAAUUUAAUUUCCAUCAGAGUCGGCCGCAAAAUCGUCGAUAUUCCUCCCUCUGCUCUCGCUUUUAACUCCGCCACCGGCGCCGGCACUGUCAUCGAUUCCGGUAAUUUAAUGUGUUUUGAAAAACAAUAGCCAAAAUUUGAAUGUAUAAAAAUGGUUGUUGAGUUGUUGAGUUGUUGUUGUUGUUCAGGGACGACGUUCACAAGGCUGGUGGCACCGGCGUACACGGCGGUGAGGGACGAAUUCCGGCGAAGAGUGGGGAGAAACGUAACAGUUUCAUCCUUGGGGGGGUUUGACACGUGCUAUACAGUCCCAAUCAUCUCUCCCACCAUAACCUUUAUGUUCGCGGGAAUGAACGUGACUCUUCCACCGGACAACUUCCUGAUACACAGCACGGCGGGAUCAACGACGUGCCUGGCCAUGGCCGCGGCCCCGGAUAACGUGAACUCUGUACUGAACGUGAUUGCUAGCAUGCAGCAGCAAAACCAUCGCAUACUGUUCGACAUACCGAAUUCCCGCGUGGGAGUUGCCCGUGAAUCCUGCUCCUCUUAAUUAAUAUAACACAAGUUGGUGGUGGUGGUUGUUGGUUUUUAGAAAUUAGAAUAAGAAUAUGUGUGUGGUAAAAGUAAAAGUAAAAGUAGUAAUUUUGAAUUAUUGGUGGUUUGGUUUUCAAAAUUUAGUAGUACAUUUGAAUGGAGUAAGAAGGGCGGUAAAGGAGAGAGAGAAGUAUAAAAAAGAAAAUGGUGUCAUUUGGGAUUUGGAAUGUUUUAGGGUUUAUUAUAUUAUUCAAUAUGUCUCUCUCUUGACCUAAAGCAAACGGCUUUUUUUGGUUUUCUAUUCUCCGCCUUGUUUCUGACUUUGUGUGUCGUAACCCUACUUUUACUACUCAACAGAACACUUCUUUUUAUUUUUAUAUUAUAUGAGAAAAGACAGAGUAUACGUACCUGAGCUUUCCACUUAUAUAUAUAUAUCUUCUCUUCUUUUACUACAGUUUUCCAUUUUCCCUUAUUCGAUGCCUAAAUGAAGAAACUAUGAUGUUUCAUUUAUUUAGUUGUACCCUACCAGUUGACUUUUCUCUGUGUUACACAAAAUAAUUAAAAUAAAGAAACAAGUUCCAUUGCACAAACUUUCUCAUUAAACAACCAUCACAUAAGAAAUAUUCAAACCAACUAUGUGUUUAUAUAACUCAACACAAAGUUCCAAAGUAAAGAAACUCAACUGCCUAGUUAUAGAGACGACUAAACUGAAAUACUAUAAGAUCAUGUCGAAAUGUUUAUGGAGAAAAAUAAGUUUGGGGAGAAAGAAUAAAGUUGAGAGAGAGAAAAAUCAAAAGUAAGUUUGAGGGAAAGAAAGUUGAGAGAUAUGGAUGAGUAGUAAUGGAGGAAAAUAUGUGUCCUCCCAUCCAUCCAAUUUCAAUUUACAUAAAUAAAGUUAGAUAACAAAAUUUAACUUUGAAGAGAUGCCUAAGUGAGAAUAUUUAUAUUUUUAAUUAGAAAAUAAUAAUAAUAAUAAAAAAACGAACAAAAAUCAUAGUGAUUGAAAGACAAAAUUGAUACAUGUUAGAGAGAAAUUAAAACAGAAAAAAAAAGUUGAAAAGUAACAUAGUAGAGAGAAAAGUAAUUUUGAGACACUAUAUAUAUAAAUCAUAAAAGAGAGAAAUAUAAUAUAAUAGAAUAUUAUUGUUAAUUAAGAAAGCUAGAAGAGUUUUAGAUGAAGAGAAAGCAAAGUGAGAGUAAUUGAUACAUUAUUUCUUACUCCCCCAUUUUUGGUAAAAAGUUGUAUUAAUUAUAAAAGUUAUGCCAAACUUAUGACUUAAUGCAAAAAGUUUAUAAUUAUCCACAUCACUCGAGAAAACGUUGAUCAUGAAAAAUACUUUUUACACAAAUUAUAAAAGAAAGUAAAAGAAAUAAAAAUAAAACUUAUGUUGUUUUAGUAAAAUUAGUAACCAAAAUAACACAUACUAUGUGUUAAUUGAGCCUUUUCUAAACAGUUUUCUUAUUAUAAUAUUUUGUUAUAUAUCUUAUUUUUCCUUUAAUUAAUUUUCAUUUUGCUAGGAUUCCAUUACAAAACCAUUUUACUUUUGGAUUUCGAGAAUUAGGCUUAUAUACAUUAUUUUAUUUAUAAAUUUGUUUCUUUUGUUAAUCACAUUUUAACAGUAUUUUCAAAAAAUUAAAAUUGAAUUUUUUAUUAAAUUUGUCUCCACGGAUGAACUAAACAUUUUAGGUGGAAAUACCAAUUUGAGAAAGAAAAUAUUGCAUGAGAAUUUAACUAAUUAACCAUUCAAAUAUCUCUGGUUAAAAGCAGAGUGAGAGAAUUUUGGAAGGGAACAUACUUAACUUAAUUUUCUAAAAGAAGAAUAAAAUAAAAUAGGAAACACACAUUAUAUAAAAAGAAAGCAUAAACUAAAUUAAGGAGAGGGGGAUAAUGGGAUUAAAAAGGCAAUCCUAAAAGACCAAAACUAUUCUUUUUUUUUUUUUUUGCAAUUAAAUUGGCAAUAUGGAAGCCACCAAAACAAUAAUAUCUAUUUACUUUAUUUAUUUAUUGAAAAGAAAAGGGUAGGAAUAAAGCGAAAGAUGGGUUUGAAAAGAGAGGAAGAGUAUCCAACGACAAAAGUGGAACCUAUAAGAUCUAAUUUGUAUAAUAAGGGUUAUUUGAUUUUAGUAGUGAAAGAAGAUGAGGGGUUUUAAUUUUGUAGCACAUUGGCUGGCUGGUGGUGGUGUUGGUGUUGAUAGAGAUCAUAUAUGCUACUACUAACUACGCCACUACCAGUUAUAUAUGUUAGUGGUGAUGGUAGUGGUGGUGAUUGUGAAUUAGAGUGGGUGACAACCCCCAAUAUGCCUUUUAAUUUACCCACCACCUUCUUCUUACUCCUUCAUCACUACUUUUUCUUUUUCCUUUUUCUUUUUCUAAAAGAAUAAUUUAAUCUUAUAUGUAUGUGUCUUACAUUACUAUUAACAAGCUGUUUGUAAUUAGCUAGAUUCCCUCAAUCUAAUAUGGAUUUUUUUUUUAAAGAAAAAAAAACAGUAGAAAACAAUACCUUAUUUCUAACUAUAAUUAAGUUUUAAUCUAUCGCUUAAUAAUUUUGAAAUGUUAUUAUGAUGAACAUCAAAUCAGGUCAUUAAAUUUGGCAAGCUUAUGUGAUCCUUUAUCACUACUAUUAAUUUUUCUAAAUGUUUUUUUUUCCCCUUUAAACUUACUAAUUACGAUUGUUAAUGGUUUAGUAAUUAGGGUUAGUUUCAGACAUUUAUCAUUUAUCAUAUAUAUAUGUAAAUUAUAAAUCUAUAUGAUCAUCUAAAUAAUAGUUAAGAUGCAGCAGUUUAUUAAAAAGAAAAUAAAUUAUUGUUAAUAGUAGUAAAAGAAAGGUAAGGGAUGCCAAAGAUUAAAAAUAAGAAGAAGAAGAAGAAGAAGAAAAGAAAAAAAAGAAAGAAAUAAGCUUUUAUGGAAGAUGUCAUAUAUAUGCUGAAUGGAUGUAUGGAGAGUUGGCUUCAUAUCAACGCUAACAUGCAAAGGAAGAAAAGAAAAAGCAUCACACACACACACCAUUUGAAAAAAUAAAUAAAAGAAGUAAAGUUAUGUAAGUUUUAUAUGUUCUAGGGUUAGCAUCAUUAUAAGGAAAUUGACAAAAGGUGAUAUGAAUUGAUUUUCUCAAAUAUUAGGUUUUGGUUGCCCACUAAAUUGAUUAGUAAUUACCCUCCCCUCCAAAUGCUGUGUUAGUGCUUCCAUUCCAUGUCUCUUUCACUUUUCUUUUUUCAAUUCUUUUAUAUUCCAUUCAAAACCCCCCAACACCCCCUCUCUCAUCUCUUUCUUUCUAAAACAAAACCUCUCUUCAUCACAUCAUAUCUAUAUCUAAUUAAUUAACAUAUAUAUCUGCUCUUAAUUCAUACUUCAAAUUAUACUAAACUAAUUACAAGUUUUUUAUACUCUUUAUCUUUUCUCUCCUCCUACUUAAUAUCCUACCUGUAUUACAAUUAAUAAAUAACUCUCUCUCUCUCUCUCUAUAUAUAUAUAUAUUAUUCUUUGAUUUGAUAUCUAAUCUAAACUGAAGUUAUAUAUCUACCUACUACAAUCACUCAAUACUUAUUAUUGCCUAAUGCCUAUUACUAUUGCAUAAAAAAGAGUAUUAUUCUUUUUCUUUUCAUUUUUCAUUGAUCCUCGUAAUAAAAAUACAAUCAAUCCUUGUAUAAAAGAGAAUUAUAUCAACCCCCACAAACUUUUUAAUUCACACAUCCUACUCUACCUACUAACUAUUUUUCUCUCUAUUUAGAAUAUUAUUCAUUUUGCGUGAAGUCAAAAAGCUUGAUCAAAUCUUCCUUCAAAGUAAAUAUGUUAGGCAAAUUUGUAAUUAAUAUAUAAGUUGUAGGUAUUUCUUUUAAUUUCAUUCUUUAUUUUUGUAAACAUAAUGAAUAUAUAGGGUUGAUGACAUCCGAUUGUUUAAUUUGAUGAAGUAGAAUAAAGUUGAAAAAUGAUAAUCCACAUGGUUACAUAAAUUAACCCAGUCUUUAAUAUUUACCCACACAUAAAGCAAAGGAAGAAAAAAGAAAAAAAAAAAAAAAACAUAUAUACGCAUCCCAUAAACUAAAAAGUUAGGAAUUCCUAAACCCAUAACCCAAAAAAUGAAAUCUACCCAUUUCACUCUCUUUCCUCCCUAUCAAUCUUUAAUUCCAUCUCUCUCUCUCUCUCCAGUUGGCCACUACCUAUGGAAUUAUCUCUAUCUCUCUAGAAUGCUAGUGGUUCUUUUUUCUUUUAGGUUGGUGUCACCCACUACCACCCUUCUUCUUAUGUUCAAAAGUCCCUCUGGCCUCAACUUUGAUUAUUGGUAAUGCAGGAAACAAAAGAAGGGUUUCCAAACAAAGAUGUUAGCAGGUAAGUAACAAGACUUAGAACUAAGUUUUUUAUAAAAAGAAAAAAAAAAAAAAAAGAAAGCAAACUUGAAUUUGGGAUUGAUCAUUAGGAUGCUAUAAUCCCUGCUGAUUGAGUGAUUGACUUCCAUCGCCAUGGAGAUCAAACCCACUCCCUCAUCACCACCCACAAUUACCUCACUAACACAAACACAAAUACAAACCUCCCCUUCUCUUUUAUUUAACCACCACCACCAGCUUCCCGACGACAACCCAUCUCCCAAAACAAACCCUGUUUCCAACGGAGGAGGCCGGGGACGCCGGCUAAAACGAGACGAAUGGAGCGAAGGAGCAGUGUCGAUUCUGAUAGAUGCGUACGAAUCAAAAUGGAAACUACGAAACAGAGCAAAAUUGAAAGGGCAUGAUUGGGAAGAUGUGGCUCGCCAUGUGUCUUCAAGAUCUAAUUUAACCAAAUCUUCCAAAACCCAUACCCAGUGUAAGAAUAAAAUUGAGUCUAUGAAAAAAAAGUGCCGUCAAGAACCUGCUGACUCUUCUUGGCCUUUGUAUCACCGUAUUCUGCCUUUGGUUGGAGGAAACACUAAUCUCACCCCAUCUCCACCGCCCUCUCUUCCGCCGCAAAAUUCCCAUGGAUCCAAUGGUGUUGAUAACAUUAAUCCUUCCCCUAAGGUAAAUCAAUUUCUUUCUUCUUUUUUUCUUUGCCUUUUUUAAUCUAUCUAUUAUGGAAAUACUUUUAUUUUUAUGGGUUUUAAUUGAAAAUUGCAUACGUACUCUCAUAUAUAUUUUUGCAGAUAAUAUAUAUAUAUAUAUAACACCAGAAUAAAACCUUUUUCUUCACACGCUAUUACAAUUCAAUUCUUCCCAAUUCCUUCAUACUUAGUGUAGCAUAAUAAGUAUAUUAUUAUAUUAUAAGUUGUUUAGUUUAUUAAACUCUAACAAUUAUCAUUAAUUUAGAUUUCGGUUUCUAAACUAAUUGAAUUAUUCUUAUAAUUACUUUUUAAAUAACAUUAACUAGUUUAUAAAUAAAACACUAAUGGUAGCCGAAUAUAUAUUAGAUGUAAUUAAAAAAAAUGAUGAUCGUAGGAAGAUGGAGUUGAUAAUGGAAGAGGAGUAGAUGAAGUACUAUCAGAGAAAAAUGAGAAUAAUAACAAUAGUAAGAAGAAGAAGAAGAAGAAGAAGAUGGUAAGGGAGAAGAGUACAGAUAGUAGUAGCAGUACUCCAGCUGCAAUAAUAUACAGUAGUAGUGAUGAGAAAGAGAAGGGGGUAGCAGCAAUGAGGCCUAAAUUACAACAAUCAAAAAUGAAGAAGAAAAAGAGGAGGAGAAGCGGCGAGGUGGAUUCAUUGGAGCAGAUAGCGGGUAGCAUACGGUGGUUGGCGGAGGUAGUGGUGCGCUCGGAACAAGCUAGAAUGGAGAUGAUUAAGGAUAUAGAAAAGAUGAGAGCUGAAGCAGAGGCCAAAAGAGGGGAGUUGGAUCUCAAAAGAACACAAAUCAUUGCAAAUACUCAAUUGGAGAUAGCUAAGCUCUUUGCAUCUCCUACCAACAAACCUCUUGUUGAUCAUUCUUCACCACUAAGAAUUGCUAGAACUUAAUUAAAUUCUUUUUGAUUUUAAAUCCCAUAAUAUAUAUAAUGGGGGAUUGGGGCCUGGGGAGGGCAUUAAAUUAUGUUAACUACCUACUACUCUCUCACCCUCUUAUACACUUAAUUAACUUUAGUAAUAUUCUAAUUAUAUUACUACCUAGCCCUCCCCCUUUGUUAUUCAAUGUAAGCUUCCCUCUUUCAUUUCAGCAUGCAUCCUCUAAGAAUGCUGUUUUGUUUAAACUUACUUUCAGAAUAAUUAAUAAUAAAUAUAAAGUUUUUAUAUUAUAUAUUAUUACUUACAAACAUUUUGAUUGCUUCUAUUUUAUUGUUAUAGAUUUUGUUAUUCAUUCUGUUACCAUUACCAACACUCUUUAUUUUUAAUUUCUUCGGUAAAAUUUUCAUAUUGCACUCACACAACAACAUACUUAUCUUAAAAUUUAAAUAACUGGUCUACGUAUUUGAAUUAGUUUGAAUCGAUAAAAUCAACAUAAUUAGAAAUAUGAAUCAACAACAACAACAAUUCUCUCUUAAAAAAAUGCAUCAUCAAUGCUUCUUCAGAAUCCAACAUCAUUGAGUGCACCUUUAGAGUGGUCUAAUUGAACAAAACAAUAAUUUAGUAAAUAAGAGAUUAAUAUUAAUAUUGCUAUCUGAAAAGGAUAUCUAAGGUAUAUAUGCAACCUCUAAUUGGAAGUUUGAUCUUAUAUAUUUUCAUAACUGUUGCAGUCAAUUUUGAAGCAAAACCAAAGAAGAAACUGGGGAUUUGGGCCAUUAAAAAUGGGUUAGGUUUGGUCCAAUUUACAGCCCACUAUAUGUUUAAUCAAUGAUAGAAGGUUGUUGCAAAAAUCAAAAUCAAAAUCAAACAAUGUGAGUGAGGUAGGUGUGGAGAAUGGAGGUUUCUCCAUGUGGGGGAAAUAAUAAAAGUUUUGUUGGUAUGCAAUGAAGAGAAAUCAUGAAGGAUAGAAACUAUAAAGCCAACUUUCUAAAACCUCUACGUAUCUCUUUGCCCUUUUUCUUGACUUUGUAAAAUCUUUUAUAUAUCUUAUUAUUAUAUCAUUUUUCAUGGAUUCCCCCACUUUAAUUUCAAGGAUUGAGUCCACUAAAACCUUUUUUUUUUAAUAAUUAUUAUUAUUAACGUGUGAGAAGUAUAACAUACAAUUAACCUCUUGGUUGUUUUGUACUACAUCUAUAUAUAAUUGUUAUUCAAUUGAAGUAUAUUGGUAUGUAAAAUAUUAUUUUGUACUAAUUAUCUAUUAUUAUUGAAAAGAUAAGGCACACUUGUAAUGUGAACUAUUUUUUAAAUUGCAAUAAAGUUGAAAGGGAAUUAUCACACACCCAAAUGAUCAAAAUCACAUUUUUUUUAUAAAAAAAGUUAUUAUUCCAUGCACAUGGUCCAAUUUUUAGUUUGCUCAAAUUAUUAUCAUAGUCCAUAGGAAUUCAAUAAUCUAUACCAAUUAUAUAUUUAGUUGAAAGUCGAUAUAUCAAUUAUCAUUGGAUUAUUUAUAUAACAGAUAAAUUUUAGGUGACAUCAAACCAAUUUUCAUAUUUCAUAUGAUGUCAUGUGAUUUUUAACAUAAAUAGAUUUUGUUGUCAAACUUACGACUAAGGUUUCAUGUGAUAUGUUUAAGAAUUAGUUGAUAAUAAGAUUUUUUUUAAAAAAAAUUAUUAUAAAUAAUGCUAACUUAGAAGAAUUUAAGCAUUUAAGAAUUGUCCAAGUUUAGUUUUAAUACAAUAGGUAUUAAUAUAUAUGACAUGAAAUAUUGCUAUGAAAAUGACUCAACCAUGGCUAAAUAUCUAAAUUAAGAAGAAUUCAAAUAAAUCAAGGAUAACACGUACAAUUAAAAAUAAUUAAAUAGUUGAAUAUGUAAAGUUAAGUGUAAUAUAGAGAAAUAAAAGAUUAUUAGAAGUCUAAAUCCCCCUUUGUUGUACUAUAUGUAUGUGUAUAUUAUGUCUGUGAACAAUAUGGAGAAUCUUCUAGAUCUUCUUUAUUUGUUAUAUAAAAUCAAGAAUACAAUGAUACAUAUACAGUUAAUUUGGACAACCUAUAAGGAAAGGAUCAAAUUAAUCUAAUUACAAUAAUGUAUUCCUAAAUUACAGCUAAAUUACUUUAACUACGGUGAUACCCUCCCUCAAACUCAAGUUGGUAGAGUAGAAACCACCUUGAGUUUGUGAAGUAACAGAGUGAAACGAGGAGAAUGGAGAGCUUUGGUGAAGAUAUCUGCAGGUUGAUCAAUGGUAGAGAUAGAUUGAAGAUGGAGAGUGUUGCUUUGAAGAUGAUGACGGACAAAAUGACAAUCGUUCUCUAUGUGCUUUGUUCGUUCAUGAAAUACAUCAUUGUGUGCAAUCUGAAUGGCACUGCGGUUAUCACAAUGGAGAGUAGUAGAUGAUGUUUGUGGGGCUCCCAUAUCAGUAAGAAGCCAACGAAGCCAUAAUAAUUCUGAAGUGGCAUCAGCUAGAGCACGAUAUUCAGACUCAGUGCUAGACCGGGAAACAACAGAUUGUUUCUUGCUGCGCCAGGAGAUAAGAGCAUCACCUAAAUAAAAACAAUAGCCAGUGGUGGAUCUUCUAUCAGUAGGAUCUCCUGCCCAAUCAGCAUCAGAGAAUCCAGAGAGAACCAGAGAAGACUGUGAGGAGAAGUGGAGACCAUGACCCAAAGUGCCUUUAAUGUAGCGAAGAAUCCGAAGGACAGCAGUGAAAUGAAUAGUACGGGGAGCGGCCAUGAAUUGACUGACUAUGUGAACUGCGAACGCAAUAUCAGGGCGAGUUACAGUUAAGUAAAUCAAGCUACCAACAAGUUGCCGGUACAAAGUAGGAUCGUCAAGGGGAACACCAUCAUAAGGAGUAAGUCGAACAUUUGGAUCCAGAGGUGUUGAGGAUGUUGUAGAAUCAGUAAUACCAGAUCGACUGAGUAGGUCAGAAGCAUAUUUAGCUUGAGAUAAGUAAUAACCAUCAGAUACGGAGGUGAUCUCAAGGCCAAGGAAAUAACUGAGAGGUCCUAAAUCCUUCAUUUCAAAGUGCUUUCCCAGGUAGCAUUGCAAUUCAGAUAUAGCUUGAGGGUCAUCGCCUGUAAUAAUCAUGUCAUCAACAUAUAAAAGAAGGAGUACAAUACCAUUAGGUGUCUGGCGGGUGAACAAGGCUGAAUCAUGAGGGCUGGAAGUGAACCCAAGUUGAGUAAUAGUGGAGCUAAAAGUUGCAAACCAGGCUCGGGGAGCCUGUUUGAGACCAUAGAGAGCUCGUCGAAGAAGACAUACUUUCUGAUGUGGCGGGGUAGUACCAGGUGGUGGUUUCAUAUAGACUUCUUCAGAUAGAGUUCCAUUGAGAAAUGCAUUUUUAACAUCCAUUUGUAAGAGGGGCCACUGUUUUGCAGCUGCAAUGGCUAAAAGACUACGAACAGACGUCAUUCGAGCUACUGGAGCAAACGUUUCUUCAUAAUCAAUGCCAUAUUCUUGAGAAUAACCUUUGGCUACAAGUCGUGCUUUGUAUCGUUCUAUAGACCCAUCAGAGUGCGUUUUGAUUUUGAAGAUCCAUUUACAACCAAUAGGUUUCUUUCCAGGAGGUAAGUCCACAUAUUCCCAAGUAUGAGUCUUUUCUAAGGCUUGAAGUUCUUCAUUCAUUGCUUGCUGCCAUAAUGGGUUAGUGCUGGCUUCCUUAUACGAGGAAGGUUCAACUAAAGACAUGAUGGUGGAGAAACAAUGAUAAUCUUUAAGAUGAGAGGGAAUUUCUCUUACCCGUGUAGAUCGUCGGAUUGGUGUAGAUUCAGGUUCCUCAAGAGGGGCAGAUGGAAGAUCCGGGAGUGCAGAAAUAUGGUCCGAUUGAGUGGGCUCAGGUAUAGGUAACAUGCAAGGUGUAGUGUCAGGUGUUGAGUCAAGUGAGGGAAAAAGGUCAAUAGACGGAUCGGUGAAGAAUGGGUGAGAACUUGAAAGAGAUUCAUGGAAUGAAGAAAGACUAGAAAACAUACGAUGUUCCCAAAAGGUGACAUGACGAGAUAUACGUAAUCGUUGAGAGAUUGGGUCCCAACAACGAAAUCCUUUAUGUUCAGUACCAUAACCCAAGAAGCAACAUAGACGUGCACGUGGUUCAAGUUUGGUAUGUUCAUGAGGAUAUAAUAAUACGAAACAUGCACAACCAAAAAUUUUUAGAUUGGAGUAAGAAGGGGAAGUACCGUAUAGUCUUUCAAAGGGAGAAACAUUUUUAGUGACUUUUGAAGGAAGACGAUUGAUGACAUAGACAGAGGUGAGGGCAGCCUCGCCCCAGAAUUUUUCUGGACAAGCAGCAGAUAGAAGCUGAGCACGAACAGAGUCAAGAAUGUGACGAUGUUUGCGUUCAGCUCUUCCAUUUUGCUGAGAGGUGUGAGGACAGGAGCGUUGAAUCAGAGUGCCUUGCUGGGCAAGGAAGGAAAGAAGUUGAGAGUCCUUAUAUUCCAUCGCAUUAUCAGUUCGAAAGAUUUUAAUUUUGCUGGAGAAUUGUGUGUGAAUCAUAUUUGCAAAAUCAACAUAUAUUUGAUAUAAGGAAGAGCGAUGUUUAAGAAAGUAAAUCCAAGUAAAACGAGAAUAGUCAUCAAUAAAUAAGACAAAGUAUCGAUAACCAUUAACGGUAGUACAAGGAGCAGGACCCCAAAUGUCAGAAUGAAUAAGGUCAAAAGGCUUAUUACAUAGAGAGGUGGAAUUAGGAAAUGAUAAAGCAGGUUGUUUUGCAAGUUUGCAAUUUAAGCAAUCAAAAUGACUGAAUUUUGAGACAUUAUUCAAAUUACCAGUAGAAACUAAAUUACGAAGUUUAUCAGAGGAUGCAUGACCUAGACGAAGGUGCCACUGAUAUAUAGUGGUAUCAGUGACUGGUGCAGAGAUAGGUGGAAACUCAGGAGAUUGCUGAAGAUAUGUAAGCUCAAAUAAUCGUCCCACCUUCCGUCCCGUACCAAUCACUUGCCCCGUUUGAGAAUCCUGAACCUGACACCCAUGAGAAGAAAAGAUAACAGUUAGUCCGAGAUCACAAAGUUGGCCAACAGAAGCUAGGUUGAAUGUGAGUUUUGGAACAUGAUAGGUGUUUGACAGUUUUAUGGUGGGUGUGUUAACAGUACCAACGUGAGAGAUAGGCAUAUGAUUACCAUCAGCAGAGUGAAUUGAGGGAAGAGAUUGAACAUGAGUAGGUGAGGAUAAUAAUGAAAUGUCAGCAGUCAUAUGAUUGCAACAAGCUGAAUCAAGGAGCCAAGAUGUACCUGGAGUGACGGCAAGAGCAGUAGAGUUGGAAGAGAUCACCUGUUUCAGUAAGUCAUGAAGAUCAUUUAACUGAAAAUUCUGAGGUGUGGUGAUAUCAGAUGAGGUAGCAGCAGCAACAAUAGGUGGAGAACUGUAUUUAGUGGAGGACUUGGGUUUAUAUGGAGCACCAGGAGGGCGGGGUGGGCGGGUGGGACAGUUGUCCAAGAUAUGACCUCGUUUGUGGCAAUACCUGCACUCAAUAGUAGGACAAUUAGCAAACUUAUGACCAUGAAGUUUGCAAUUUUUGCAGAAAAUAGACUCAUUAGCCGAUCGUGAAUGGGUGGUUGCAAGAGCGACAUCAGAUGGCAGAGAGGAAACAAUGCCAAGGCGGUUUUCCUCAAAUAAGAUUUCUUGUAUGGCAGCAUCAAGACUCGGCAGAGGGUUACGAUGUAACAAUGCGGCACGGACUGAUUCAUACUCUGGGCGAAGACCCAUAAGAACUUUGAUGAGGCGAAUAUGCUCCGGAUUGAUUUUUGCCUGAUCUAACUGAGUCCAUAUUGGUUGAAGAGUUGCAAGAUACUCGUUCACAGAUUGUCCUCCCUCCUGAUUUAGACUAACAAGUCGAGAGUGCAAUUGGUAAUAGUGAGCAAGUCCAAUAGACUGAAAACGUGUGGACAGAAAAUCCCAGAGUUCUUUUGCCGUAUCAAAUGCAUCAAAUUGUGUGUGAAUGGCUGGAAUAGAGGUGUUACCUAACCAAGUAAUGAUCUGAUGGUUUUUGCUAUCCCAAUCCUCAAGACGUUCAAUGUAUUUGUCGGUUUCUGCAGUCGUCUCUUGAACAGUGACAUCAGAUGGGUCUGUAUCAAUAUUUUCAGUGGUGUCCAUCGGAGGAGUAGGUUUGACUGGUUUAGUGAUUAUCUCCAGUAACGAUGCGCCACAGUUUUCGACCUAUCAAAAAACUCCUCAUUUGGUGGGCCCAAGUGAUAUAAUUAGUUCCAUCGAGAAUGGUGCUAAUGGGACGAGCAACUUCAUGUUUCUCCAUCUAAAUAUAAUUAGCUGCUGUAGAUUCACAGAGUAUUUGCGGCUGGGAUUCGAGGCUAAAGUUCGUGGCUAGGAUUUCACUGGAAUUGCAGUUGGGAUUCGAGGCAGGAGGUUGCUGGAGUUCGGGCGCGGUUGUUUCUUCACGGCAGGAGGUCGCCAGCAGAGGUCUUCAAGGCAGGAGGGUGCUUGCGACGGCGGCGAGUAUACAGUUCACAGAAUAUUGGCAGGAGGUUGCUGGAGUUCGCGGCGCGGUUGUUUCUUCACGGCAGGAGGUCGUCAGCAGGUGAGUUACUUCACGGUGAGAUGUUGUCUUCACGGCAGGACUUCACGGCAAGGCGUUCGCGGAAGUGUCUUCACGGCAGGGCUUCACGGCAGGGCUUCACGGCAAGGACCGAGGGAAGGUCUUGCGUCUGGCGUUCGUGGAAGAAGGCUGCGGCAGGAAGAUUGACUGAAGGGAGAUCUGGCGUUCGCGGAAGCGUCUUCACGGCAGGACUUCACGGCAGAGUUUUUCCGGCGGCGGCGGCUACAGUAAGUCUAGGGUUUUGGCUCUGAUACCAUGUGAACAAUAUGGAGAAUCUUCUAGAUCUUCUUUAUUUGUUAUAUAAAAUCAAGAAUACAAUGAUACAUAUACAGUUAAUUUGGACAACCUAUAAGGAAAGGAUCAAAUUAAUCUAAUUACAAUAAUGUAUUCCUAAAUUACAGCUAAAUUACUUUAAUUACGGUGAUAAUGUCCAUCAACUAAUAACUUGAGUGAUUGUUACUCUUCGUAUAUAUACUAUUUUGAUGGUACAUUUUCAAAUUUUCUUAAUUUUAGUUAAUGAGUAUUCGUGUUUAACAUGAUUUGGUCUUCAUUUUUUCUGUGAUAAUGUGGUAAUAUAAUUGAUGUGCAUUUAUUCUAUUAAAGUUAAAAGAUUCAAUCUCUCAUUCUCACCUAUUAAAAAAAAUACAUAUAGAAACAAAAUGGUAGCUAUAACUUUAAAUGCAUGUAAAAAGGACUAAAAAGAACCUCUAAAAACAAGACUAAGAAUGAACAAAACUAAGAGAAGAAGAGAGAUAAGUAGUUGAUAAACACAACUGUUUGGCUUCUUCUUCUUUUUUUUUUUAAAUAGAAGUUUAGCCAAUGGCAACAACAAAAAUAAAAAGAAACACUAAGGAAAAUAAAAUCUAAAAAAAAAAAAAAAACCUAAGCGAUUAAGAUAUUUGGAAGAGAACAAAAGUUAGAGCACUAGAAGAAAAGAAAAUCGAUUUUAAAAAAUUGAGAGAUGCACUAGAAAAUUGGGAGUGAAAUUUAAUCAAUUUAUAAAAGAGAGAAUUUAAUUUCAAAUUUGAAUUUGAUUUGAGCUAUAGUAGAAGUGACAUGUUGAUCAAUUUCCAUAUCUUUAUUUUAUAAAAAAAAAAAAAAAAAAAAAAACCACCCAACUCAACUGAAACAUUAAACUAAUUUUCAUUAUAUAAUUGGAUCUUAAUCCUAAAUUAAUAUUUUUUUAGCAAAUUGGAAACAGAAAAAAAAAAAGAAAAAGAAACUUAACAAAUGACCUCACCUGUAGAUAUAUAUAGAAAUGUUAAAUCCAUCAAGUCAUGAAUUAAAUUUAAUAGUUUAAUAGCAUAUCAAAAGAUAGGGACAUAUAGAUACUUUAUUGGGAAUAAAUUUAUAAAAUAUUUGAAAAGAAUUAAAAGAAGGGAAAAGAAUAUUGUUGUUGGAAAGAAUAAUUUAGGGUUAAAAGAAUAAUAUUGUUGUUGAAUGAGAAAGGAAGGUUGCAUGGUUGUUAAUAUGGUGAAUAGGAAGCAUGAGGUGAUAAACGAAGUGGAAUAUGUGAAUGAAUGAAAUGCUAUUUUUUAUGACUAAGUUUGAAUUCGCCAUAUAUACCCGAAGGGAAUUAGGCGAAGAAUUAAUGUAGACGCAGAGGUGAUCUUGUUGCUAACAAAUGCAUGGGAGAGAGAGAAGCGUGUUGUUGGCAUCUGGUUCCAAAAUAGUUUCCCCUCCGCCCUCCGCCCUCCGCCUUCUCACAUCCACAUGUAUAUAUAAGAAAGAAAGAAAGAAAGAAAGAAAGAAAGAAAGAAAGAUGGAUACUGUGAUUUGUGUAAAAGGAGGUGAAGGGCUGUUGGGGGUGAAGGGUGAAGGGGAUAACCAACCGACAGAGACAGAGGGAGGGUCAAUAAAAUUGUGCCCACAAACCCAAAGACAAAGACAAACACAAAGAGACAACCCGCUAUACACACCUCUUUCUUUAUACACACCUCUUUCUUUCCGCCAACCUACUUUUUUCCACACCCCUUCCUCCCUUCCUACACCUUACACGCACCCCCCCAACCAUUUCCAUAUUUUACUGCCAAUCCAUUUUUUAUCACCUUUACCUUCACUCUCUCCCUCCUCUAUUUAAACUUUCCAUUUUAUAUCUUCAAUCUUUAACAUCUCUACAAUAACUUACUUUUUUAAUAUUUCAAUUUCUUCUCUCUCUACUACCUAAUCUUUCUUAUUAUUAUUCCUUUUUUAACACAAAUAAUAAAAUAUCAUUCACCCACUUUUUUUUCUUUUCUAAUACAUCAGUACAUAUCAAAUUUUAGUACAUUAUAUUCAUCCCUAUUCCAUUACAUACAUGAUUGGACUAAUGAACACCACAUUGAAACUACAAAACCUCUUACGUUCAAUGAUAAUUUUUAUACAACUUGUUUGUUCUUUUAUAAGUAUAUGCAACAUUUUUUUUCUCUUUUAUCUCUAGUCUAUUGUUUGUUGCUUCUUUUAUAAUUAAAAAAAUAUUUCACUACUCAUUUGUUAAUAUUUUAAAUUAAUGUAACCCAAAUAUUGAAUAAAUGUGUUUGCAAUUAGAAGAUAGGUAGUUUGAAUAAGGAAUUCCCUCGUCAUCAAUGUGUUUGCUUAACCCUCGUCUUCGUUCAUUGUAUUAACAAAGACAAAAACAUUUUGAGUACUCAUUCCUUCAAAGUUUUUAGUACAAUAACAUUUUAGGUACUCAUUCAUUGAAAGUUUUAAAUUGAAAAUAUAAAAUUGUUGGAUUGUAAUUUUUAUUUGCCAUGCAGACAUGAAAUACUCAUUUAUAUAUUUAAAAAAUUGAGGAAAAAAAAAACUUUUUUAAAGAAAUGAGAAAGAAAAAAACCAAAAUUGGAAGAAUAUUUGAAAAUUUUAUAAAAAACAAUUUUUUUUAAUAAAAACAAAAGCCCAAAAAAUCAAAUGGAGCACUUAAGUUUAGAUCGAAAAAAGAAAGAGAAUUAGGCAUAAGCAGAAAAAUGAUAAACAUCGCCAUUAUCAAACCAACUAGAAACAAUUAAUAAUAAAGUGCACUAUAAUUUUUCUACACAUUUCUUUCAAUCAUUCAUUUUUUCUACCUCCAAUUUAGUAAAAAAUCUCUCUUAAUUUAGCCUAUGGAAAAAGGAAAAAGGAAAAAAAAAAAAAAAAAAAAACAACAACACAAGCCGCCGGUUGCCGGAAGGCACAAUGUUGGUCGAAUUCCGUGUCAUAUAGCGAUGUUACCGACGGAUACAUCUGAAGGGGAAAAGGCGAGGAGAAGAAGCGCCGCCAUGAUCCCAACUGGGAAGAAAAGAAGCACAAGUGGGGGCGGAGGCAGGGGUGGAAGAACCAACGGCAGAACGACCAUGGAAACCGCAACGGCGGCGAGGAGGAGAACGGACACUAAGUUGAAGCAACGUACCAUAGCAACUUUCCAGCAGGCGGAGAUUUGAUCAUGUCCUUGAGCGGCGGCAAUGCGUGGGAAAAGAAAUCCGGUGAGGCGGCGUGGAUUUUGGAAUUUGGAUGGGGAGGUUCGGAGGCGGAAGAAUUAGGGGUGGGAGUUUAUAUAGCUUCACGCCCCUCUGCUUUAUUAAAAAGAACAAAAUUACCUUUUCACCCCCUCCCUCUUUUUUCUUUUCAAAUUUAAAUUUCAUUUUGGUAAUUCUGUAAAUUUAAAAAUGAGUUAGUCCUUAGGUGAAGUAAGAGAUUGGAAAUUGGAAAUUUAGUGGUUAUUAAUAUUAAAAAUAUAAUAGAGGUAAUAUAUAAAGAUGGUAUACAAAAUGAAUAUUAAAGAAUGAGAAGUAUGAAAGGGGUCAAAUGCUAUUUUAACGAAAAGAAAUUAAAUUAAAGAAAUGGAAAAAGGGGUUUUAGUUUUACGGGGGUCAGCGCGUGCAUGCAUCUACUCACCCGUUUUUGUAUGACGAUUAAAUGAAUCACCACCGUUUGAUUUUCUUCCAUCUGGGACCCACCACAUUUCUGUCUCUUUUCUCCUUUUCCUAUUAAUUGGAUUUUUCAUCUAUUUUUGGCAUUAUUAUUUUUUUAUUUUCCUUUUACCAAAACUAUGUUUUAGGUUUCAAUCCUAUGAACAAACAAUGUACAUUUUCUACUUUUCAAUCCC